rnacentral:lncRNA from 1 species
AUGGCAACAUAUUUUUAUGAUUCCGAUAUAAAACUACUUCUUACAAACAGUGGCAAAAGUAACAACUUGACUAAUGCUUUUAAUUUUUUUAAAAAUAAAAUCUAUGACAUUGAAGAUAAAACUAUAUCAGAAGAGCUAUUAGGAGAGAUUCUCUAUAUUGGAUUAAUUAUAAAAAAAAAUAAAACAACAUGCAAUAGUAAAAAUAAAGUAAAAAAAUGGAUAGAAAAGUAUAUAAAUUCUUAUAUUAAUGUAGACAUUGUGUUAGUUAAUGAAGAUGGUGUAGAAAUGUCAACUGUUGCACAUAAAUUGCAUUUAUUACAAAAAAAUUAUUUAGAUCAUGAUUUUAAAAGCAUAUAUAAAAAGAUGAUUGUUAAAACUAAAAAUAUAACUGCAAACAAUGUUAUAGAUGCUAUUACAAAUGAUACUCCAUAUGAUUCAACAAAUAGUACCGAUAAAGUAAAAAAAAAUAAAAAUAAAAUACCUGAUAGCAAUUUAAUACAAAGUCAUAAUGCCGAAAAAACAGCAACUGAAAACGAACAAUCAACAACUAAUAAAAUGGAUUACAUAAAACAAAAAAAAGGUUUUUACAAUGACAAAAGUGAUGACAAUGGCAAAAGUGAUGACAAUGGCAAAAGUGAUCACAUCAAGGAAGGACAAAAAAAUAAGACAAAAAAAUUAAUGUUAAUAAACAUUGAUAAUAACAACAUACCAUCAGAAGAAAUAGACAAGUUUCUUUCAAAUUAUUGUUUUACUGAUAUAAAAGGGAUAAUGUAUUUAAUCGAAUUACCAUUAUCUAUUUCUGAAAAAUAUAUAAAGCAAAAGAUACAAUUAAAAGUACAAUUGUGUGAAAAUAUUUAUAUAGAAAGACAAAAAAAUAAAUAUAUGCAAUUUUUGAGUAAACAAAAUUUAAAUGAUUUAAAAAAGUUUUUCGAAUAUCCUUCUAUAUUAUUAAAUAAUGUACAAUGGUCUUCAACCUUUACGGCCCAAUGUAUGUAUGAUCAAAAAAAAGAAAAUAAUAAUAAUAAUAAUCACAUUACUAACGAUAGUUUAUACAAUUAUGAAAGCAGUAAUGUUGAUAAUGAUGAUAAGGAUGAAGAUGAGGAAAAUAACUUUCUAAACAUUUAUGACGAAAACAAUUUUAAAGAUGUUAAUAAAAAUUAUCCAAUACCUGUGAACUUACAUAGUAUUUGUAAAAAUUUAAAUAAUUUAGAUAUAUUUAUUCAUAAUACAAAUAAUAACAAGAACAAUAUUAAUAAUACUUAUCAAAAAAAAUAUACCUUUUUUAAACCUAUUGUGGUUAUCAACCCUUUAAAUAUAAAAUGCAAAAUAAUAGAUAACUACGUUUAUUUAGAAAUCGAAAAUAUAACAAAAAAUUAUAAAAUAGAAAUAUACGAAUUGUUUUCAAAGUCAAUUGAUAUUGAUCAUGAUAUUUUCCCUUUUUCACUGCACCCUGAAGAUAUGUAUUCAUUUUACUUUCCCAUUGUAAACUUUGUUCAAAUUAUUUCUUCAAAUAAUUAUAUAAAAAAUAAAAAAUUAACAAAUUCGAAUGAAUAUAGUAGGAGUCAUAAUGUUAACACUACUUCUAACGCUACUAUAGCUAAUACUAAUAUUAGUAAUGACAGUUCAAAUAAAAAUUAUAGUGUUAUAGAAAAAUAUAAAAGCAACCAAGAAAUAUUAACAAUUCAU